rnacentral:rRNA from 1 species
UACCAGCACCCCGAGUGGUCGGGACGUUUAUUGGGCCUAAAGCAUCCGUAGCCGGUUCUACAAGUCUUCCGUUAAAUCCAGCUGCUUAACAGAUGGGCUGCGGGAGAUACUAUGGAGCUAGGAGGCGGGAGAGGCAAGCGGUACUCGAUGGGUAGGGGUAAAAUCCGUUGAUCCAUUGAAGACCACCAGUGGCGAAGGCGGCUUGCCAGAACGCGCUCGACGGUGAGGGAUGAAAGCUGGGGGAGCAAACCGG